rnacentral:rRNA from 1 species
CCCGCACAAGCGGUGGAGCAUGUGGUUUAAUUCGAUGCAACGCGAAAACCUUACCACCUUUGACAUGUACGGAAUCCUUUAGAGAUAGAGGAGUGCUCGAAAGAGAGCCGUAACACAGGUGCUGCAUGGCUGUCGUCAGCUCGUGUCGUGAGAUGUUGGGUUAAGUCCCGCAACGAGCGCAACCCUUGUCAUUAGUUGCUACAUUCAGUUGGGCACUCUAAUGAGACUGCCGGUGACAAACCGGAGGAAGGUGGGGAUGACGUCAAGUCCUCAUGGCCCUUAUAGGUGGGGCUACACACGUCAUACAAUGGAUGGUACAAAGGGUCGCCAACCCGCGAGGGGGAGCCAAUCCCAUAAAGCCAUUCGUAGUCCGGAUCGCAGUCUGCAACUCGACUGCGUGAAGUCGGAAUCGCUAGUAAUCGUGGAUCAGAAUGUCACGGUGAAUACGUUCCCGGGUCUU